UCUUCCGUGGCCAAGUGGUAAGGCAUCGACCUUAUGCGGUAAACAUUAGCUUAUGGCUUAGCCUGUCGAGGACCAGCGGUUCGAUCCCGCUCGGAAGAA